CGAUCUUAUACAACAAGUCCCUACCGUGCCAGAUGAAGAUUCCUUUGGCCUAAUAUUCCGUCUGCAAUCCAACCGUAUUGAUGAACAGCGGUGUAGUCUACCAGACAACCGACGGAGCAACAAUACCGCGAAGCCUAAAGGGACUAAGCCCCAGUACAGGAAGGAAUCACAGCUGUAAAUAAAAUGUGUUUCCAUCACUUGAGAAGAACGAUGUGAAGAUUAAAGGAAAAGCUUUAAAAUAAGCCUGCAUAAUGCAUAUUUUAUGCAGGCUUUUAUAGUUCUUUGCCAGAAACGGCGAACAUGGUCCAAUUGUUUGAACUAUAAAGGAAACUAUUCCAGAUUUUUAAAUCUGUCACCAAGAUAGGUAGGCAGUAUAGACUGAUUACACAAACGAUGUCUUUCUAUUUUUAAUUUCCAAAGCUGCACUCUAAAAACUGCACUCUGGUUGAAAUUCCCCUUCAUAUUUCUAGUUAGAUUUCGUGGUUAGUUUAUCUCACUUCGUACCAUAGUCUGGUUAAUGUAACCAGGAAUCUGGUUAUAUAUGACCCAAGACGUCUCUGUUAAAAUAACCAGACUAACCAGACUAUGCUAUGGGUGGAUAUAACCUGAGCCGUGGUUAUUUAUCCACCCAACAUAUAGUCUGGUCAAUUUAACCCAACUAUAGUGGGAAAAAGUUAAAAUAACCAAGAAAUUUAAACCGAAAUAUUAUAGUUGACCCAAAUAGGGUUAAGCCUGGUUUACACUAUCAAAGUUUCUGUGAUCACAGUAGGAAUUUUGCAUCGGUAAGUUGUACGUUUUGAAGGAUUUGUUAGAAAUGUUUGAAGGAACUGACUCAGUGUCUAACAUUGAGUCAGUUUGUUCAAACAUUUCUGUAUACAAAUCCUUCAAAACAUAGAAUUUACCAAUGCAAAAUUCCUACUGAGAUCACAGAAACUUUGAUAGUGUAAACCAGACUUUAUUUCUAGGUUAACCAUGGGAAAAUUUAACCAGAGUGUUUUAGAGUGUGGGCUGAAGGGUAAAUACUGAUGCAUGUAUUAUAACGAUGUGUUGUAUAUAUGUUGUUUUAGAAAUCACUAU
rnacentral:lncRNA from 1 species